rnacentral:rRNA from 1 species
UACGAAGGGUGCAAGCGUUAAUCGGAAUUACUGGGCGUAAAGCGUGCGUAGGCGGUUUGUUAAGUCCGUUGUGAAAGCCCUGGGCUCAACCUGGGAAUUGCAGUGGAUACUGGCAAGCUAGAGUCAGGUAGAGGGUGGUGGAAUUCCCGGUGUAGCGGUGAAAUGCGUAGAGAUCGGGGAGGAACAUCUGUGGCGAAGGCGGCCACCUGGACCAUGACUGACGCUGAGGCACGAAAGCGUGGGGAGCAAACAGG